GGGUUCAUACCUCAAAAAUGGAAGGAUAGAUACCUCCCUUUAUUUUUAUUUAAAAAGCACCGGGGUGGUUA
rnacentral:tRNA from 1 species